rnacentral:rRNA from 1 species
CCGUUGUACACACCGCCCGUCACGGCAUGGGAGUUGGUUUUACCCGAAGACGGUGCGCUAACCGCAAGGAGGCAGCCGGCCACGGUAGGAUCAGCAACUGGGCCG